AAGCUCAUCGGCAAGCCCGAGGCCGUAAUACCCCCUUGUGCUCUCUAUGCGUCUUAUAGUUUUCGUUGGUUUUCUGUUUCUUUUUUUUUAUAUAUAUAUUUUGACGGGUGAAAAGGAAUUAAGACGAAAUUACUUUAAUUUUGUCUCAAUUAUGAUGGAAAAUUCUCUGUUUUUAAAGCAUUUUCUUAGUCUAGGUUAAUUCCCUUAUCCUCAUCUAAUGCGAAAAGGGUCGGGGAGAUAAUUCUCACUCCCUACAUGUUUGGUU
rnacentral:misc_RNA from 1 species